rnacentral:lncRNA from 1 species
CCUCAGUCCGGCUUUAAAGCGGGUGUCGGUGGCCACCCGCAGACUCUCUAGUUGAGCCCUAAAGUUACAAAGUGGGUCCAUUCUCUUUUCUCACUAUUUUAUUCCCUUUUUCUUUAUGAUAUAAUUAUAUUCAAAAAUGUCCCAAAUCGAUCCAUAAGCAAAAACCCGGACCCCUGAAACCCCAAUCCAUAUCAAAAAUAAAGAAAUCAAGAUUUGUGGUCUUCUCGCGGGCCGCGUAAAUAAAAGGCGGGAGGUCACGCGGGCCGCGCCAGCUCGUGGGACUCCGGAUAUGCAUGACGGCCACGUGUCGUCACACGUGUCACAACCACCAAUGACUCAGCAACCUUUACCGCCACCUUUAUGGCCACGCGGGCCGCGUAAAGGUUAAAGGAGGGCUCACGCGGGCCGCGUGAGAACCAAUUUUCAGCUAUAAAUAGGACAGGCCACGAGCUUUCAGUUGAUGUCGAAACCAAAACUCGAAAAUAUAUCCCACUGCUCAAAAAUCACAAAUUAGCAUAACGGGGUGCUGCUACGAUACCGGGUAUUAACUCGAUCGCUGCUACGAUACAAUAUCCGAUCAAUUGAAACUAUCCGACAGGAUGUUUAAGCGCUAUCCUUUGUCAUUAGUCGUGAUUCUGACAGGAUGUUUGAGUACCUCCCGAACUCGGGGAAUACUCUGUCAUUCGUUGUGAAUCCGAUGGAUGUUUAAGUGAUUGCACUUUGUCAUUCGUUGUGAGGGUUUUAAUCUCGUGAGUUAUCGUAAAAGCUAUAUUAGUUAUUUACCUAGUUCGUGUGCACUAGGUUACAAGGUUAAUCAAUAGGCUAAGCUCUGCCUGCAUAAAUCUGCAAUAUAUCAAGGCUUAUCUGUAGACUAAACUUUGCCCGUAUGAAUCUGCAUGCUUAUAAUGUAGUUACAGUAGACUGGAGUAAGAAUUGGAUCCGGCACUGAAAGACUUCAAGAAGUGGUUUAUUUUAUUAAUUGAAUCAAAUUAAGAAAUCUUGUUUUAUAAAAUCAAAUUUAUUUAUAUUAAAGCUACCAUUGUAAAACAUGGUUUUAUCCCAUCUAUUUAAUAAACAAAAUUCGGUGUUU